CUCGCUAGGUUUGCCGAACCAACCUCCCUCGGGGACCUUCUAAAGAGCAAAUCAAAUCUCUCAAUAAUAAGCCUUCUUCUUCCUCUUGAGAAGACUUCUUCUAAAUCUCUCUUUUGACUUUUUAAAAAUGCAAAGAAAAACAAUGGUGACGACAUCCUCUCGUACCAAAUCAAACGGCCAUGUGCUCCGUUCUCAAUCGCCGUCGGGUCGAUUCUGCGGCGAUUACUCCAAAUCCACCCCGUCGUCGUCGUCGUCUUCCUCCUCUGCCUUCGCUUCGUCUACGAGCUCAAGCUUCUCGUCUCCGUCCUCAUCCUUCUUCAGCAACCACCACCGAUCCGCGUCUCCGACUCGCGUGAACCUAUACAACCCCCAGCCGAUGAUGGCGCAGUCGUUUCGUUACUCUCUCGACAGCAGAUCCAUCUCGCCUACCAACAGAUCCAUCUCCGUUACGAAGAAGCCGCAGCCUAGCAGCCACCACCACCACAAGAUCUCUUCCUCCCCGAGGAGGUGUAUGUGCUCUCCGACGACGCAUCCUGGAUCUUUCCGGUGCAGCCUUCACAAAAACGUCGCGAAUCCGCACGGUCAAGGCGCGUCGUCGUCGUCGUAUCCGACGAACAGUUUGAAUAUGCGGAGAUCCGCGAUGACGAAUUCGCUGGUGAGGAUCGGUGGCGUCGAAGGAGAGUGGGUGAGGAGAGCCUUGACGACUCUGAUAAGGCCUUCGUCGCAUCAUCUGAGACGAAGGGCUGCUUAUCAGCCUCGUCCGAGUAGGCUAUCGAUUAUGUCGAAAGCCACCGAGUGUAAUUGAUCUUGGUUUUGAUUUCAGUGUUUGUCAGAUUCCCGUGUAUUCGUUUCCCGUGAAGUCGUCGUUCGUUGACCGUCUCGUUCACCGUUGUGCGUUCCGUUGAUUUUCAAGGUAUGCGUUGUUCGUCGUGUGAGGUGGAGUUUGAACUACUUUAGUACCCAGUUACAUGGAAUUGAAAGAUGAACAAAAAAAUUAACCAGCCAGAAGUGACAUAGAAAAAUGGUUUCGAAAUGGUCUUUCUGGAUGAACAUUGAUGACAAAUAUUUCACAUAAGGACUGGAGGAAAAUCAGGAAAAAACGAGAAAGUAUAUUUUGGAUAGAUGAUGACUGACCAAUUAGAAAACGACCGAACAUGAAAAUUAGCAGAGGAUUUGCUGGAAAAUGAAUUUGAAUAAUGAGAAGUUGGGAGUCAUGAUAAUAAUCAUGAAACAUGAAUAUUUGAAAGAGGGGAAAACAAGACGUAAAUUUUUAAAGACACGUUUUAAUGAUCUCGGGCACUAUCAUUCUCGAUUUUAUUCCUAAACAUCCAAGAUACGUCCAUUACUAACAGUAAAUAUUUUUGUUUUU